rnacentral:rRNA from 1 species
GAGGCAGCAGUGGGGAAUAUUGGACAAUGGGCGAAAGCCUGAUCCAGCAAUGCCGCGUGCGUGAAGAAGGCCUUAGGGUUGUAAAGCACUUUCAGUUGAGAAGAAAAGCAUAGGGCCAAUACCCCUGUGUCUUGACGUAACCAACAGAAGAAGCACCGGCUAACUCUGUGCCAGCAGCCGCGGUAAUACAGAGGGUGCGAGCGUUAAUCGGAAUUACUGGGCGUAAAGGGCGCGUAGGCGGCCCGAUAAGUCGGAUGUGAAAGCCCUGGGCUUAACCUGGGAAUUGCAUUCGAUACUGUCAGGCUAGAGUAUGGUAGAGGAAAGCGGAAUUCCGGGUGUAGCGGUGAAAUGCGUAGAUAUCCGGAGGAACAUCAGUGGCGAAGGCGGCUUUCUGGACCAAUACUGACGCUGAGGCGCGAAAGCGUGGGGAGCAAACAGGAUUAGAUACCCUGGUAGUCCACGCCCUAAACGAUGAGAACUAGCCGUUGGGGGCAUUUAAGCCCUUAGUGGCGCAGCUAACGCGUUAAGUUCUCCGCCUGGGGAGUACGGCCGCAAGGUUAAAACUCAAAUGAAUUG